rnacentral:rRNA from 1 species
CCUACGGGAGGCAGCAGUGGGGAAUAUUGCGCAAUGGGCGAAAGCCUGACGCAGCGACGCCGCGUGAGGGAUGAAGGUCUUCGGAUCGUAAACCUCUGUCAGCAGGGAAGAACGGUCACUGUGCUAAUCAGCAGUGAAUUGACGGUACCUGCAAAGGAAGCACCGGCUAACUCCGUGCCAGCAGCCGCGGUAAUACGGAGGGUGCGAGCGUUAAUCGGAAUUACUGGGCGUAAAGCGCUCGUAGGCGGUAUGUCAAGUCAAGGGGGAAAUCCCCGCGCUCAACGUGGGAACUGCCGUUGAAACUGGCAAACUGGAGUGUGUGAGAGGAUAGUGGAAUGCCAGGUGUAGGAGUGAAAUCCGUAGAUAUCUGGAGGAACAUCAGUGGCGAAGGCGACUAUCUGGCACAUAACUGACGCUGAGGAGCGAAAGCGUGGGUAGCAAACAGGAUUAGAUACCCCGGUAGUC